rnacentral:tRNA from 1 species
GGGCGAUUACCGGACCCAGCAGAGUUUGCUAUAGCGCUUGACCUGGGGACUCAUAAUCCGUUGGUCGCGGGUUCGAGCCCCGCCCGCCCCACCA